rnacentral:rRNA from 1 species
UACGUAGGGGGCAAGCGUUGUCCGGAAUCAUUGGGCGUAAAGAGCGCGUAGGCGGUCCGGUAAGUCCGCUCUGAAAGUCCGGGGCUCAACCCCGGGAGGCGGGCGGAUACUGUCGGGCUAGAGUCCGGAAGAGGAGAGUGGAAUUCCCGGUGUAGCGGUGAAAUGCGCAGAUAUCGGGAAGAACACCCAUGGCGAAGGCAGCUCUCUGGGACGGUACUGACGCUGAGACGCGAAAGCGUGGGGAGCAAACAGG